GGUGGGCAUACAGCUCAGUUGGUAGAGUGCUUUUCUCAUAUACACAAGGCUCUGGGUUCAAUCCCCAGCACCA
rnacentral:tRNA from 1 species